rnacentral:tRNA from 1 species
UGUAGCUCAAUUGGUAGAGCACUCACCUAGCAUGUGUGAAGCCCUGGGUUUGAUCCCAAGCA